rnacentral:rRNA from 1 species
GCGAGAAAACUUUGCAAUGUGCGAAAGCACGACAAGGUUAAUCCGAGUGGUUUGUGCUAAACGAACCUUUUGUUAGUCCUAGAAACACUAACGAAUAAGGGGUGGCAAGUUCUGGUGU